rnacentral:lncRNA from 1 species
GACCCAAAGUUCCUGAGGAACCUGAGGUACUCAAGGAAGAACAACAAGAAGAGCGGUGAGGCUGAAGCCGAGGAGUAAGAUGGAAGUUUAUGCUCAUGGAGAAGCAUGGAUGUGUUUCCCCUUCCUAGCUCAGUUUUACCUUUAGGAUCUGGAGUUUCGCUUAAGAUGGAAUUUAAAUGGUCUUAUGUAUGAUGGCAAGGACCCUCUUUUGCUGCAGAAGUGUUACUGCCGUAAUAUUACGAUAUUAUGUGUUAAGUUCAUGCUACUCUUUGACUUGUUGUUUUACCUUCUCUCUAACUGGUUAUCUGCUUGGAGGUCAACAUUGGAUUUAAAGCGUGCUGUCAGCCAUUGACUCUAGGCUCGUGCCGUUUGCCAUUGUGAUUGACGCGACUAUGUCAGCCAGUGCAGAACACGUUGGUGCAAUGCGACCAAGGGGCUGUUUGGAUACCCGUGGUUAUUGUUGCAUCGAAUGUUUGGAGGGUAAUUAGAAGGACUAAACAUGAGCUAAUUAUAAAACUAAUUGUAGAAGUAGAUACCAGUGGUUAUUGUUGCAUCGAAUGUUCGGAGGGUAAUUAGAAGGACUAAACAUGAGCUAAUUAUAAAAUUAAUUGUAAAACUUCUAGCCUAAUUCGCGAGAUGAAUCUAUUAAACUUAAUUAAUUCAUCAAGCAAAUGGUUACUGUAGCACUACAUUGUCAAAUCAUGGACUAAUUAGGCGUAAUAGAUUUAUCUCACGAAAUAGCCUUCAUAUGUGUAUUUUAUAUUUAGACUAUAUUUAAUACUUCUAAUUAAUAUCUAAAUAUUAUGUGAAAGGGCUAAAGUUUAGACUCCCUUAAACCAAACAUCCCCUAAAUUUUUGGACCAGAGUAUGCAGGACAAUAGUUGAAGACAUGUCUGAAUCUUUUGUUCCAGUAGAAAACUCUAGUGAUUGAUUCAUGUACGUGCUCGUGGAUCUGACAUCUGAGCUCGCCUCGCCUCACAGGCUCGCAGUUCGCAAGCGCUGUGCUCCGACGACCGGCUUCCAUCGUUGCCGCCGGCGUCAAGCCCGCGGCCUUUUCGAAUUGUAAUUUGGAAGGAAGUAAGUACAUAUAUGCAUAUAUGAUGCUACAGACAGGCUCGAAAGCUGUAGUACUCCUUGCCUCAGGAUAAGCACGGGCGUUUGCAACAUACGGCUCUUCGCGCAGUGGUUCCGUGGGACUCAAGUUGAACUACGGUUAACUGAACAAGCUGUACAGAUUACAGAGGUGUGUAGCUCAACACGCAGAACAGAAUGUGAUAUUCCGUUUCAAAAAAAAAAACAUAGAGGUGUGUAAGUUUUUUUUUUCCGCCGGGUGUUUUACUGCUAUACAUGACUGAGAAGAAGCUCUUUGGCAACAUAAUUAUUCAUCACAAUAUAAGAAGCAGUUCCUUUUUUCAAGUCAGGUAUCCCCAUACAUACAAGUUUCAUACAUCAUUCAGACAAAGAAGUAAAGACAGGAGGGAACUAAGAACAUGCCUGUAAACUUGCAAGCAGACCAACCAGGUCUCUAGAUCAACACACAAGCAAUGAUGUUAGAGAACCCACAUAACUCCAAAACCAUUACAAACGUAGACAGCAACAUCGUUGCUGCUAACCGUCAUUAACACCAUCAGCAGCCAAAAGGAAGAGAGCGCCUAUGAUCAUGCAAUAACAAGCAUCAAGCAUUUUGAUGUACUACACCUCCGGCUAAAAUCUAAAUAUAUACAGGCUGGUCCUGGAAUGGGUGCAGUCAGACUAUUACUCUCUUGGCAAAUGAUAUUGCCAUCAAUAUUUGUAUCAGCCACAUGAAACGUAAUGCCAGUAUGGUUUGAUCUAAAAAAAUGACUUUAUCAGGUUUCUGAAUCUAGUUUAUCAGAUCAGAGGUUGGUUGGUGGUCAACCUUUUUUUGUCUCGGAGUAUCCAACUUAGUACUGAGUUUCAACUACAGAAAGUACUAUCGAAGUGUCUCACAAGAUAGGUAUAAAAGAUGCAUCAAGUAGCUUGUUCAUUCAGAGAAGGAUGAGUUAAAUCAGAACAAAUAGAGACCGAUAUGGCGGUAUAUCGAAGCAGAUCUAAGCAUUGCGGGAACAGUGACCUCCAAUCAUUUCAGAACUUGCGCACUAAAAUGGUAGGCUGAAACACAAAGAAGCAGAAGCUGAAACACAAAAACCCAGUUGGCUUAUCAGGAAACCAGAGCACAUAACUGAUUGGAUGCAAAGAUAAUUGCAUGUUCAGCUAUCUCUGAGAAAACAAAAGGCACACUGAGUAAGAACUAUAUGCCUAGUAAUAUUAGUCACUUCGAGCAUACCACCAAUAAACUGCAGGCUCACAUUAAGUCUUAACUAAUCUCUAAUGACUGAAAGGAAUUGACUGUCAACUUCGAGCACAUGACCUUGUAGCAGGCAAUUCUAUUUGAGCGACAUAUGAAUUAGCAUUGUUUAGAAACAAUAACCCAGCUUCUAUGGUUAACAAAAUUGCUAGUCGAAUACCGCUGCUUACACUCUAGAACCUUAAAACUAAUGCAUGGAAAAUGAGCUCCGAAGUAACGUGAAUCACUGGUUUCUUUGGUUUCUACUCCAUAGUUAGUAACCCUGACUUUUGACUAUCACAUCGAUUAAUAUAUAAGCACAAGAAAUAAUACUCAAAUAAGAUUGGAAUGGCAAACAGUGCAGCCGCAGGCCAAAGCUGAUCCAACCUGCCCAAAGACCAUGUUUAAAAAAAUUGUACUGCCUUAGCUACCAUUUUGUUUUUAACAUUUUUGCCAAUGUGAGACUGUUCGGGCUACCAUUGCUAAUGGAAAAUUACAUGGUGUAAUAGCUCCAACUACCCCACAGACUGCAGUACAAAGAAAAAAGAGAGGAAAAUUGAGGUACAUGACGUGUAAAUCUCCACACACACGAUAAUAAAUACUCAAAAGAAAGAUAAAAAAAAGAACAGCACUUUGUUUAGAAAUCAGCACACAAGAUCAAAAAAUGAACUGCU